UGUGUGUGUUAGUGGAAGCGUCUGGAAAGGCGCGUGAUACAGGGUGACAGCCCCGUACACAAAAAUGCACAUGCUGUGAGCUCGAUGAGUAGGGCGGGACACGUGGUAUCCUGUCUGAAUAUGGGGGGACCAUCCUCCAAGGCUAAAUACUCCUGACUGACCGAUAGUGAACCAGUACCGUGAGGGAAAGGCGAAAAGAACCCCGGCGAGGGGAGUGAAAAAGAACCUGAAACCGUGUACGUACAAGCAGUGGGAGCACGCUUAGGCGUGUGACUGCGUACCUUUUGUAUAAUGGGUCAGCGACUUAUAUUCUGUAGCAAGGUUAACCGAAUAGGGGAGCCGAAGGGAAACCGAGUCUUAACUGGGCGUUAAGUUGCAGGGUAUAGACCCGAAACCCGGUGAUCUAGCCAUGGGCAGGUUGAAGGUUGGGUAACACUAACUGGAGGACCGAACCGACUAAUGUUGAAAAAUUAGCGGAUGACUUGUGGCUGGGGGUGAAAGGCCAAUCAAACCGGGAGAUAGCUGGUUCUCCCCGAAAGCUAUUUAGGUAGCGCCUCGUGAAUUCAUCUCCGGGGGUAGAGCACUGUUUCGGCAAGGGGGUCAUCCCGACUUACCAACCCGAUGCAAACUGCGAAUACCGGAGAAUGUUAUCACGGGAGACACACGGCGGGUGCUAACGUCCGUCGUGAAGAGGGAAACAACCCAGACCGCCAGCUAAGGUCCCAAAGUCAUGGUUAAGUGGGAAACGAUGUGGGAAGGCCCAGACAGCCAGGAUGUUGGCUUAGAAGCAGCCAUCAUUUAAAGAAAGCGUAAUAGCUCACUGGUCGAGUCGGCCUGCGCGGAAGAUGUAACGGGGCUAAACCAUGCACCGAAGCUGCGGCAGCGACGCUUAUGCGUUGUUGGGUAGGGGAGCGUUCUGUAAGCCUGUGAAGGUGUACUGUGAGGUAUGCUGGAGGUAUCAGAAGUGCGAAUGCUGACAUAAGUAACGAUAAAGCGGGUGAAAAGCCCGCUCGCCGGAAGACCAAGGGUUCCUGUCCAACGUUAAUCGGGGCAGGGUGAGUCGACCCCUAAGGCGAGGCCGAAAGGCGUAGUCGAUGGGAAACAGGUUAAUAUUCCUGUACUUGGUGUUACUGCGAAGGGGGGACGGAGAAGGCUAUGUUGGCCGGGCGACGGUUGUCCCGGUUUAAGCGUGUAGGCUGGUUUUCCAGGCAAAUCCGGAAAAUCAAGGCUGAGGCGUGAUGACGAGGCACUACGGUGCUGAAGCAACAAAUGCCCUGCUUCCAGGAAAAGCCUCUAAGCAUCAGGUAACAUCAAAUCGUACCCCAAACCGACACAGGUGGUCAGGUAGAGAAUACCAAGGCGCUUGAGAGAACUCGGGUGAAGGAACUAGGCAAAAUGGUGCCGUAACUUCGGGAGAAGGCACGCUGAUAUGUAGGUGAAGUCCCUCGCGGAUGGAGCUGAAAUCAGUCGAAGAUACCAGCUGGCUGCAACUGUUUAUUAAAAACACAGCACUGUGCAAACACGAAAGUGGACGUAUACGGUGUGACGCCUGCCCGGUGC
rnacentral:rRNA from 1 species